rnacentral:rRNA from 1 species
AACGAACGCUGGCGGCAGGCUUAACACAUGCAAGUCGAACGGGUGUAGCAAUACAUCAGUGGCAGACGGGUGAGUAACACGUGGGAACCUUCCUAGAGGUACGGAACAACGCAGGGAAACUUGCGCUAAUACCGUAUACGCUCUUGCGAGGAAAGAUUUAUCGCCUUUAGACGGGCCCGCGUCGGAUUAGCUAGUUGGUGGGGUAACGGCUCACCAAGGCGACGAUCCGUAGCUGAUCUGAGAGGAUGAUCAGCCACACUGGGACUGAGACACGGCCCAGACUCCUACGGGAGGCAGCAGUGGGGAAUCUUGGACAAUGGGCGCAAGCCUGAUCCAGCCAUGCCGCGUGAGUGAAGAAGGCC